CUGAGAUCUUCACAAGAAUGAAAGAUACUAGCAAGGGGUGUUAGAUGAAGUUACAGCCCAUGAAUAGCAAUAGUGUGACCUAUUGAUGCAUCUUUUCAUGAAAAUGGGAGAGCAAGAGGCAAAUAAUUUUCACCUGGCUUCUAUUAUUCAUUCACCUACCCAGUAAGAAAAAAAAGUAUGGCUUCUGUUUUAAUCAUGUAGGAAAUGAGCUAGGCAAUCGGUAAUAACACAUUGUGCUGUUAUAGAGAUUACAUUGAUACUUUGCCCAGCAACAAGAAAGGAAAGUUUUGGUUCGGCAGAAUAAUCCAAAUGAUGUUGGUUUGCACUUGUGCACAAAAGAGUAGAAGCUCUGAGAAGCCUUUGACUGACAUCAUCCCCACAGUUCCCCUCCCUCCCCACGAGUGUAAACUCUUUGGGGCAGAGGUUGGCGUCUCUUCAGUGGGUGAGAUUCCAUAGCCCAAGAGAGGGGCACCUGAGGCAGCUUUAGGAUGGCCUUUGUGCUUUCCUAAUCCUGGGCUUCUCUGAGGACUCAGGAGGCGCCUGGCA